rnacentral:lncRNA from 1 species
UUAUCCUUUAUGACUUGAUUUAGUAUAUAAUUUACGUAUUGAGUAAUGUUACUCAUACAUAUUCAUGGGGGUUGAAAUUGAACUCUUGUUUUGAUUGGUUCUUGGUUAUUGGCGGUUAAAUUGAGUUUUCCUUUGUGUACCUUGGGUAGAAUUUACCUGGACACUGGUCAGUGAAAGACGUCCAUUAUUUACCCAGACUAUUAUAGCAGAAACCCAUAUUGACAGAUUGUAUAUUGACUAUAUUCAGCUUUACAGUUUUCCAGACAUGACUAGUAAGUUGCACUUUCUUCUUUAUUAACAUUUUGACACGAAUUAAUAGAUUUGGUUAACUUUCCUAUUUUCGAGUAAAUACUCUUCAGAUUGCAUGUUUAUAACAUCGGAAUGAAAGAUUUGAAUGAGCGUAUUUUUGGUAAAGAAGCUAGGUCAUAUUUUUAUAAAGUAAUGUAAUAUUUGCCGCUGAUCAUAGCGUAAUUAUGUAAUGUUUAGAGAUAUCGUAAUAACAGUAUUUUACGAAUACUGCAUGUAGAAAAAUGGCGGCAUGUAUGAUAAGUUACAGUAUAUUGUGAAAAGAAUAUUCGAGUUACAUAUUGUGUAAUGCUAUUUUUAUAUGGACGAAUUGAAUACAAUUGUCAUGUGAUUAGUAUUUUAUAUAAUUACGAAGAGUCCGUUCUUAUUAUUGUAUUUUGGUUUUCAGGACUCUGAUGUAGAUUAUUUACUUUGUGCCAAGUUCCUUAUUUACUAGAGAACUCACUCCACAAGUGGUAAGCGCAUAAUUUGUAGUUUUUGUAUUAUUUUAUACUAUAGAAAUGAUAGUUAGUCAUGGAUUAUUUCCAUUGGCGAUUUGCGCGUUUUUAGCAAAUCAGUGGUAGAAUUUAUAUGUCGGUAUUCAGACAUAGUAAAUACUUUUUGAAUGUUGUAAUAUUUAUUAAGUUUAAUUGUAAACUUUCAUGUACUUGCGAGAAGUAAUUUUAAGAUACAUUUAAUAUAUUUGAUUGUAAACGCAAUAAAACUGGUUACCGUUAUAAUUAAAUGUCGGUCAGAGAAACCGGUUUGUUAAAGUACAUGUGACAUGUGAUGUACAUUUCACUACACGAUUGAAUGAAUGAACAUUCCAUAGUAAAUGUGUAUCUACUGUUUAUAGUAACACUAUUAUAUUAGGAAUCGUUUGAACUGUAUUAAAAUUGUCUGUGAUAUAAUAUGUGUAUAAUAUAUUCUAUAUGUUACAUGAACUAUCAUUAAUGUUUAUAAUCUUGUUAUUUCAGAGUUUUUAUUCUCUGGUAAUAAAACCAUCCGAACCUUAGAAAGUCUUCUAGUUAUUAAUUUAUACCGGAAGAGACCCCUUUCACAUUUGGCGCCCACGAAGUAUUAUGGAAUGAUGUGGCACAGAGAGAUCCGUCAGAAGUCCGAUGUUCCAGAAUUAUUGUCUUUCUACCCGUAGAUGUUGAUGUUUACCAAUAGUGAUGUCAUACAUAUUUUCCAGAUCACGUGCACGUGUUGAUGUUUACCUCCGUUAGCCAUGUGGAUGUCCACGUGUAUUUGUUUACAUACAUGUAUACCGUAUAACCGACUUAGAAGAUUGUUGUACCGGAAGUUACUUUAUUGUAACUUAGACUUUUUAGUUUUCAAUAUUUGAAAACUUGACAUUUG